rfam:Oryza barthii chromosome 8, whole genome shotgun sequence.
AAAAGGCCGAAUUUUUCGGUUUUUGUGUCCAAUAUUUGACCGUCCGUCUUAUAUUCGUCUUAUAUGAAAUUUUUUUAUGUUUAGUAUUUUCAUUAUCGUUAGAUGAUAAAACAUGAAUAAUACUUUAUGCAUGACUUAUUUUUUUUUUAUAAUUUUUUUAAAUAAGACGGACAGUCAAAAGUUAGACACGGAAAUUCGAGAAUUAAG